GAGUUUGAUCAUGGCUCAGGACAAACUCUGGCGGCGUGCAUAACACAUGCAAGUCGAACGAAAUCUACAUGAUUUAGUGGCGAACGGGUGAGUAACACGUGAGAAACCUGCCUUACACAGAGGGAUAGCCGUUGGAAACGACGAUUAAUACCUCAUGACACCGUGACAUCGCAUGAUGAUGCGGUCAAAGAUUUAUCGGUGUAAGAUGGUCUCGCGCCUGAUUAGCUGGUUGGUGGGGUAACGGCCUACCAAGGCGACGAUCAGUAGCCGAUCUGAGAGGGUGGACGGCCACAUUGGGACUGAGACACGGCCCAAACUCCUACGGGAGGCAGCAGUGGGGAAUUUUGCACAAUGGGGGAAACCCUGAUGCAGCGACGCCGCGUGAACGAAGAAGGCCUUCGGGUUGUAAAGUUCUGUCCUUGGUGAAGAUA
rnacentral:rRNA from 1 species